rnacentral:lncRNA from 1 species
UUUACUUAUGUUUUAAUAAAACGGCACCGUCUGAUUUUGUACAUGAAAUUUUAGUGGCGUUUUCUACUAAAAUGCCGCAAAUAUGAAUAAUAUCCGCAAAUACUUAUAAAUAAAUAUAAAUAAUUUAGUGGCGUUUUUGUGAAAAACGCCGCAAAUAAUAUUUGAAAAAUUGAAUAAAACGGAGCCGUUUCAUUGACAAGUUCAGUUGACCCUCAAAAUUUGUAAGAUUUGUGGCGUUU